CACUGACCAAUGGUAAGGAUCCUGAGACAGUUCACUGUGUCUGCCACCCGAAAUGGCAGGUCCCUACAAUACCGUAUUAAAUGAGC